AGAGUUUGAUCAUGGCUCAGGAUAAACGCUGGCGGCGCACAUAAGACAUGCAAGUCGAACGAACUUAACCAUUAGUUUACUAUUGGAGCGGUUAGUGGCGGACUGGUGAGUAACACGUAAGCAACCUGCCUAUCAGAGGGGAACAACAGUUAGAAAUGACUGCUAAUACCGCAUAUGCCUUAGAAUCACAUGGUUACGAAAAGGGAAA
rnacentral:rRNA from 1 species